GUCCUUGAGUUGAACUUUUGGAAGGGGAAGUUUGUAGAAACAACGAGUCUGUGGAUUCCUUUGGUCGAACCGCCUGAGAUCAUGAUCUAAGGAACCAGAGCUGUGACAUCGCUGACGACGCUCUUGGGAUUGCAUGUCGGAUGCUCUGUAGGCGAUUACGGAUCUGCUUAUCAAUCAGAGAUAUGAUUGCUUCCGGCGGUUUGAAGGUCUGUCGAUGGAGUCUUGAGUUUCGCUCUGUCCAAAGCCAGUAGAUUACAGCCUGAGUUGCUAGAAGCGGGAGGCGGAGAGAGUCACGAUUGGUUCGCAAGUCCUGAAGUUGAGCGACAAUAUCAUCCCAAGAGGUGAGAACUCAAAGAAGAGGACCAACCAAGUAAGGAAAUUGUGCCGCGGGAUGCUGUAAGAGAUCCAAACGAUCUUAGCCCAAGGAACCGUCGGCUGGGAACCUUUAAGAUAAGUGUAUAUCACGCCUGUUUUGUACCUUUGUUCCAGUCUUCCAUCAACCACCCAUUCAUAACCAUCUUCCACUUCUGAUAACUCCACCGUGAACCUGUAGUGCUAAUUGGUUCUCAGUUUUUGCUGCAGGUAGAUGCCAACUCCCCGCGGAGAAGCGUGAUGCCACAGUUGCUGUCUUUGGGAUACCAAGACGCGAAGUGCUGGCGUUCAGAAAAUUGUAUAGGUUUUCAAAGGGUGACCAAUUAUCAAACCAUUAUCUUUGAAAACUGAUGUUCGAAAGAGAGAAGACCGUUUUAGUUGGAUGUUUCAUGUACGAUGUCUCUUCCUUUAUACUACAUGAAAUAUGGAUGUGCAUGGAAUUUACAAUUAUACAAGAAUGAAAUUAAAUACUUGAAGCA